UGGGGAAUAUUGCACAAUGGGCGAAAGCCUGAUGCAGCGACGCCGCGUGAGGGAUGACGGCCUUCGGGUUGUAAACCUCUUGCAGUAGGGACGAAGCGCAAGUGACGGUACCUGCAGAAGAAGCACCGGCUAACUACGUGCCAGCAGCCGCGGUAAUACGUAGGGUGCGAGCGUUGUCCGGAAUUACUGGGCGUAAAGAGCUCGUGGGCGGUUUGUCACGUCGUCUGCGAAAUCCUAGGGCUUAACCCUGGACGUGCAGGCGAUACGGGCUGACUUGAGUACUACAGGGGAGACUGGAAGUUCUGGUGUAGCGGUGGAAUGCACAGAUAUCAGGAAGAACACCGAUGGCGAAGGCAGGUCUCUGGGUAGUAACUGACGCUGAGGAGCGAAAGCAUGGGUAGCGAACAGG
rnacentral:rRNA from 1 species